GUCUACGGCCAUGCCACCCUGAACACGCCCGAUCCCGUCUGAUCUUGGAAGCUAAGCAGGGUCGGGCCUGGUUAGUACUUGGAUGGGAGACCACCUAAGAAGACCAGGUGCUGUAGGCA
rnacentral:rRNA from 1 species